rnacentral:ncRNA from 1 species
CCUCGAUGAGCUGGGGGCAGAUAUAGUGGACGUGCGUAUCGAUGCCUCCGGCGACGACGAUUUGGUGCUCUCCUGCCAUGACUUCUGUCGACACACCCACGACCAUGUUUGGCAUCACCCCCUCCAUCACAUCCGGGUUUCCUGCCUUUCCGAUUCCGGAAAUAACACCAUUCUUGACUCCAAUGUCAGCCUGUCCUCGUCAUCGUCCGUAGG